rnacentral:misc_RNA from 1 species
GUUUUAUCGCAGUUCUUACUAUGUAAAAUUACAAAUACAAAGUAAGGUAGCAAAAUUGUUCCGUAUUCAGAUGUACAAACAAUACAUACAUAGAAUUAAAAUGGUAAUACAAUCCUAGGGGAUGAAGAUGGCUUAGUAGCAUGAGCAAAAGGGCACUGCCAAAUUCAUUUCUCUGUGUUUAAAGUAAGAUCUCUUCUUGGACACUCACAUUAAGAGUCUUGUUUGGCAGGACAAUGCUGUUGAUCACUACUACUUCAUCCUCGACCGACACGGAUUCACCAAGAAUUGUGAUCCCGAGCUUUGCGUUGUAGUCUCCUACACCCUGGACUCUUGACCAUCUGCCAAUUGAAGACUUCCAGCCAACAAUUGCAUGAAUAACAACCGCAUUUUCCUUGAUUUCAACAUCAUCAAGGAUAAUACAACUGAUGAGCCUGGCCCCAGCUCCAAUACGAGCAUUAGCAGAAAUUGAAACAUUAGGACCAAUCUUUGCAGUAGGAUGAACUUUAGCAGAUGGAUGGAUAUAAACAUCACCACUGAUGGUUGCAGUCUUUGAGCCAUCCCCACUUGCCAAAAGAUGUGGUGAUGUGGAACUAUAUUGAGUCAGGUAGAGACCGGAGCAUUUCAGAGACAUCCCUGGUGUUUUAAUUUGUUCCCAGAAAUCCAUGGUUUCAUAGGUAUAUAGCUGCUUCUUCCCAGCAAGAGGGGUCAAAAUAUCUUGAUCCAACCGUACAAAGUCUGUUGGAAGACUCCUAUUUACUGGCUGAAGAGCUUCAAAGCUGGAUACACGCCUUAGAUUAGCUCUGUCUUUCCUCUGAGUGGAUACUCCUUGAAUAGCAUUGAAGAUAUCUGGUGUAAAUACGUACACACCACAGUUGAUGCGGUCACUCACAAAAGUUUCAGGUUUCUCAGUGUAAUGCAACAGUUCAUUGGUAACGGGGUCGGCGACCAGUUCUCCAAAUUCACUGGCUGUCUCAGCAGACACCUUGCUGACAAGAAUGGUUCCCAUUCCACCAUAUCUUCUAUGAGCCUCGAGCAUCUCAGGCAAAGGAAAACUGCAGCAAACGUCGCAGUUCAGCAAAAAUAUAUGUGACGGGCUGUCUUCCAUGAGCAGAUCCCUAAAGUUGUAAAGACCUCCAGCUGAACCAUGUGGUUUGUCCUCCUUCAGGUAUCUGACAGGAAUUCUUAGUUCAUUCGAGAUUGAAGACACAUAUAUAGCAAAUUCACGCUCCUCAUAGAAGCCAACGAGGUAGAUCUGCGCUAGGUUCGGAAUCUUUUUACAGGCAGAGAUCGGAUGAUGAACCAUUGGUUGUCCUGCUAAUGGAAAAAGUGGCUUUGGGAUAUUCAAUGACAAUGGGCGGAAACGUGUACCUUUGGUUGGUCCACCGACCAUGAUCACAGCCACAACUUUCUCCUCAGAACUUCCCAUUUCUAUCAAAAGCAGAGCUCAGAUCUCAAAAGAAAAAAAGGAUAAAACGUUCCGCCCAAAUCAACAGCCCCAAUUCUUUUAACUCUACAAUGAACACAAUUUGGGAAAUAAUCUCAAAAGGGGCAACUCAAUAAUUACAAUACAGAAACCUGAAAGUGACAGUGCUGACAGAAGAUGAAGCAGAAAAAGAGGUGGACGAGAAUGUUGGGGGAGAAAGAGAUAUGAAUACUGUAAAUAAAAAUUGAGAUGAAUACAG